ACUAACUACAUGAACAUUCUAAUUAUUUAUAGGAACAUGAGACCCAAUGAAAUCAUGAUCUUUCCUUUAGUUCUCAAAGGUUGCUCUAUGGAUGAAGGAAGGCUAAUUGUUUAAUUCAAUUUAAUCAACAUGUAUGGAGUGUCCAUACCUGCUGAUCCAAGUCCUACCAUCCCUCUCCUCAUGGAAGUCACAAUCGUCUUUUGAAACAGAAGACAGAUCAUAACCUAUCCUUCCUUAAAAAUCCUCCCACGGCAUCCCACAGGAUUUAGGAUACAAUUUGAACUUGAGCCUCACCAUAGCCUUCAAGGUCCUGCAUGAUCCAGCCUCUGCACACCUCUCCAACCUGCUCUUGAGCCAGCUCAUCUGUGAUCUGGCUCACUGCCCUUCUAUCUGGCAUGCAAGCAAGCUAAGCCUGUGCUUUUCUCAGAGCCUGUGUACCUGCUGGUCCUGCUGCCUGCAGACCACCCUCAUUUCUGAAGUGGGAAUGUUCCCAUCUAGUCGCUCUGCUUCACUUCUCCUUGUUUGAUGAUCUUCAGAGUAUUUCUCACCUUCUGAAAUUGUCUCCUUUGUUCAUUUGUUUAAUGUCUGUCUUCCCCUCAAUGUUAGCUUCAUGAGAGAGGACUCUCAUCUCUCUAACCCACCACUGAAUGCCCAGCACCUGGCAAAAUAUCUGGCUGCUAACAGGUGCCCCAUCUAGUUAACCUUUGAAUAACAUGGGUUUGACUUCCUGGGUCCAUGCACCCACAAUUUUUUUCCUAUAGUAUUACACAAUCUUCAGUUGGUGGAGUGAAUAUGGAAGAACCACAUGUAUGGAGGGCCAGCUAUAAGUUAUAUGCAAAUUUUCUACUGCACCCCUAACUCCCACACUGUCUGAGGG
ensembl:lncRNA